ensembl:lncRNA
GAAAAAUAAGAAUCUACAGAAAUACUUUUAAAGUAAAGAAAGCGCGCUAAUUUUCACAUUACAUACAGCAUUAAAUCUUUGCCAACGUACACAGGUCUUCCUGGGAUUUAUAAAAACGUGAAACAAAAGGAAACGGAGUGAAGGCUCAGAGAGUACUUAAAAAACGAGGAGCUGGAAAAACAGUGAGGCCUGUGAGGAGAAGACUCUGACUCAGAGGCCUUGGGAGCACUCAGCACGGCCCUCAAGGCCUUAGGGCUUGGCCGUCACCCUGAGUCGGGCACCCCUGGGCCCGUGGGGAAGAUCUGUGUCCAGUGAAGCCUGGCAGGGGAGCGGAGGGGAGGAGUGGGGAAGGCUGUCCUUUUGUUUCUUGUUUCGCUUCGAAGUCUCUAACGGUGGGAGCCCGGAGUCUCUGGUGUCUGACGUGUUGUCUGUAGCAACAGCUAACACUCACACGGAGCUGUUCCAGGCGCGUUGUGUGUCUCAACGCUUCCUCUCACAAGCCUGGGAAGAGAGUCCUCUUACGUCCCCACCUUACAGAUGAGGAAACUGAGGCGUGGAAAGGUCGGUGUGACUUGCCCGAGGUUACCUGGUGGUGAGGGCUGGAGCUGGCACUCGCAGCCACCGCUCCUGCCCAGACAGGCUGCUGGGAGGGAGGGAACCGGGCACUUCUCAAGGAGGCGCCCGGGCCUGAUGCGCGUGUGAUUCUUCAGUCGUCCCAGUGGCCCACAUCUGCAGCACCUCACCCCCGGGUACCCAGGUCCUCAGCCCUGCUGCACGUUGGACGUAUCUGAGGUGGGGCUUUUCGAAGUCCAGAGGCCACGAAUCAAUGAAUUACUCCAAUCACCGAGGAGGGAGCCUGGGCCCCUGGCAAAUGGUGAUUCACUCACAUGCGCCGUCGGUCGAGGACCUGCGCUGGGGUGCCACUCACUGAGGCCCGCGCUCUGUAACUUCACCCUCAGGUAAUUUGGGGGGAGCAAGGGUUUCCUACUGCAGCCCUGGGCCCCCUCAUGUGGCAGAGCCUGCGAGGCGUCUGUUUCCUGGGGCCUGGCACGGAGCAGGUGCUCGACAGCUGAGGACUGAUGAGGUCACCAGCCUGUGGUUAGAGCAGUUGAAUCGGCCAUUGUUUGGAAAAACAGAUGAGGCUAAACCCCAAAUUAGCUCAGCCCAUAUUUAGUUAGUGAUUGCAUGUAAACCCCAGGCCCGCCUCUGUCACAAAUAGAAAGAGAAAAUCACAUCAUUCCUCGUCUGUAAAAUAUGGGCAGUAACUCCCACCCUGAAGGAUUCAAACAGGGCACAGAGCCAGCCUGUGAAAAGUGCUGGGUAAAUGGCGGCCACUAUUGCUCCCCCAAAAGGUGACGUGCAGAGGCAGGUACCGCUAGAGCAACUGCAUCAUCUACGAUGUAUGGCGCCCUGGCUGCAGGGCAGGCACGGCUGGGGCAGGGCCCCUGGUCAGGCAGAUGUCUUCACAGCCAUGAAAUCACUGGGGACAGACACACUGGAAAACAGAGUUAAAGGGCCUGAGGAUUUCUGAAUUUGUGUUUGUAAUAUCCUAAAAGUAAAAUUUCAUUUGUCCUGCUAGUUACCACUUCUAUACUAACGAGUGGUGUUCUUUUAUUUUUCCUGCC